UAGGGCUAUUGGCUAAUCGCUUUGUGUGCUGCUUUUUGAACGCAUCACGUACAGAGGAAAGUCCGGGCUUUAGUGUAGGCAUGGUGCUGGAUAACGUCCAGCGGGACGGAGGUUAAUGUCCGUUUUAGGGAAAGUGCAACAGAAAGUAUACCGCCAAUAAUUUUUUUGUAUAAUUAUUGGUAAGGGUGAAAUGGUGAGGUAAGAGCUCACCGCACAUAUGGCGACAUAUAUCGUGGCAUGGCAAACCCCACCAAAAGCAAGACCAAAUAGGGAGAUCGCAGUGUUUUAAAACGCACUAGGAAGGCCUGCUGUUCUAUGAUCUUCGGGUAGGUCGCUCGAGCCCGUUGGUAACAGCGGGCCUAGAUGAAUGAUUAGACAGGGAUAAGCGAAAGUUGUAUCCUGGACAGAACCCGGCUUAUAAAUAGUCUUAAAAC
rnacentral:RNase_P_RNA from 1 species